AGCGAACGCUGGCGGCAGGCCUAACACAUGCAAGUCGAACGGAUCCUUCGGGAUUAGUGGCGGACGGGUGAGUAACACGUGGGAACGUGCCCUUUGGUUCGGAACAACUCAGGGAAACUUGAGCUAAUACCGGAUGUGCCCUUCGGGGGAAAGAUUUAUCGCCAUUGGAGCGGCCCGCGUCUGAUUAGCUAGUUGGUGAGGUAAAGGCUCACCAAGGCGACGAUCAGUAGCUGGGCUGAGAGGAUGAUCAGCCACAUUGGGACUGAGACACGGCCCAAACUCCUACGGGAGGCAGCAGUGGGGAAUCUUGCGCAAUGGGCGAAAGCUUGACGCAGCCAUGCCGCGUGAAUGAUGAAGGUCUUAGGAUUGUAAAAUUCUUUCACCGGGGACGAUAAUGACGGUACCCGGAGAAGAAGCCCCGGCUAACUCCGUGCCAGCAGCCGCCGUAAUAC
rnacentral:rRNA from 1 species